rnacentral:rRNA from 1 species
GGAAUAUUGGACAAUGGGCGCAAGCCUGAUCCAGCCAUGCCGCGUGAGUGAUGACGGCCUUAGGGUUGUAAAGCUCUUUCGCUCGGGACGAUAAUGACGGUACCGAGAUAAGAAGCCCCGGCUAACUUCGUGCCAGCAGCCGCGGUAAUACGAAGGGGGCUAGCGUUGUUCGGAAUUACUGGGCGUAAAGCGCGUGUAGGCGGGUCUUUAAGUCAGGGGUGAAAUGCCAAGGCUCAACCUUGGAACUGCCUUUGAUACUGGAGAUCUUGAGUCCGGGAGAGGUGAGUGGAACUGCGAGUGUAGAGGUGAAAUUCGUAGAUAUUCGCAAGAACACCAGUGGCGAAGGCGGCUCACUGGCCCGGAACUGACGCUGAGACGCGAAAGCGUGGGGAGCAAACAGGAUUAGAUACCCUGGUAGUCCACGCUGUAAACGAUGGAUGCUAGCCGUUGGGGAGCUUGCUCUUCAGUGGCGCCGCUAACGCAUUAAGCAUCCCGCCUGGGGAGUACGGUC